rnacentral:tRNA from 1 species
GGGAUUGUGGCUCAGUGGUAGAGUGCUUGCCUCACAUGUGAGGCACUGGGUUCAAUCCUCAGCAUCACA